CGUCCGUGUGGGGUCCUUUUGCCAUCGACAUCUUCAUGUCCAGGCUCAAUACCCAAUUACCCCGGUUCUACAGCUGGCGCCCGGAUCCAACCGUGGAGGCAGUGGACGCCUUCCUACAAGACUGGUCUGGGUCACUCCUCUACGCCUUCCCCCCCUGGUUGCCAUGAUACCUCGGGUCCUGCUCCAAGUUCGCCGCCAAAUGGCCGACCUGAUCCCACUAACCCCAUUCUGGGGGACCCAAUCCUGGUUCCCACAACCCCUGGAAAUGGCAAUAGACGUGCCCAGACUGCUGCCGUCUCUACCGAACCUCCUCCUGGACCCAUCGCGCCUCCUAGCGGAC